GAAUAGCUCAGUUGGUUAGAGCAUGGCGCUGAUAACACCAAGCUUGCAGGUUCUGUCCCUUACAGGGAUCAUGGAUCAAAACCAUAAGGGGAGGGAAACA